rnacentral:rRNA from 1 species
AGCUCCAAUAGCGUAUAUUUAAGUUGCUGCAGUUAAAAAGCUCGUAGUUGGAUUUCGGGUGGGAAUGGCCGGUCCGCCGUUUCGGUGUGCACUUGCUACGCCCACCUUGCUGCCGGGGACGUGCUCUUGAGUUCACGCUCGGGACACGGAGUCGGCGAGGUUACUUUGAGUAAAUUAGAGUGUUCAAAGCAGGCCUACGCUCUGAAUACAUUAGCAUGGAAUAACACGAUAGGACUCUGGCCUAUCUUGUUGGUCUGUAGGACCGGAGUAAUGAUUAAGAGGGACAGUCGGGGGCAUUCGUAUUUCAUUGUCAGAGGUGAAAUUCUUGGAUUUAUGAAAGACGAACUACUGCGAAAGCAUUUGCCAAGGAUGUUUUCAUUAAUCAAGAACGAAAGUACGC